AUACGGAGGGGGCUAGCGUUGUUCGGAAUUACUGGGCGUAAAGCGCGCGUAGGCGGGCUGGUAAGUUGGGGGUGAAAUCCCAGGGCUCAACCCUGGAACUGCCCUCAAUACUGCCAGUCUUGAGUUCGAGAGAGGUAAGUGGAAUUCCUAGUGUAGAGGUGAAAUUCGUAGAUAUUAGGAAGAACACCAGUGGCGAAGGCGGCUUACUGGCUCGAUACUGACGCUGAGGUGCGAAAGCGUGGGGAGCAAACAGGAUUAGAAACCCCGGUAGUCC
rnacentral:rRNA from 1 species